CCUCUCUCAGUGUCGCACCUGGAGAGUUUCCAGUACUCUACCAGUCUCGACUAAGGGAGGGAGAGUCAAGCAGAGGUAUAUCUGUUCCAUUACUUACUUGGCCAGUGGCUAGCGAGUGGAAGGCAAUCUGCUAUAAGU